GGGAAGAUAGUGAAAGGGAGAGAAAGGAGAGAGAGAGGGAGAGAGAAGCAGCAAUUCCGUAAAUGAGAGGGGAACUCAAUCCCUUACUUUCUUUUGCCUUUC